GAUAUCUCUAGCUCGUGCAGCUCUGAACUUGUUUUGUUGGUUGUCAUCUAACCAUCGUUCGAUCUGCCACCUGGUGCAUGGUGGAUGCCUGGGUGCAUGGCGAUUGCGCCAACACGCAGACGGUGAUGAUGGUUAGAUGACCAUCAGCAAACAUGUUCAUGAGACAUGCGUCCUGAGCUCGUCAUGUU
rnacentral:precursor_RNA from 1 species